AUUCGCUUUGCCGGUCGCAAGGCCGGCUAUGGCGAUAAACGUUCUUCGAAAUAAACCUAUCGGACCCGGGGGCGGUACCCGGCGCCUCCACCAAGACCCAGGACCGAUGGCCGCAAGGCCCGGAUCGGCCUCAGACCUGGGUUUCGGCGGGGGCGAAAUAGGAUCGACGAGGGCGUAAAGGGUGAACUUUUGCUCGGCAUGGUUCCGCCGUUAUCGGGCCUCUGCAAUAGUUGCCAAUGACAACUUUGCUCCGGUCGCUGUCGCCGCGUAAGCGGUGCCGGUUACCGAAAUCAAGUCCUAGCGGGUAGCACUGCAUAGGCGGGGUUCGGAGGUACCUGGCAACAGAAACCUCCACUUUCAUU
rnacentral:tmRNA from 1 species